rnacentral:ribozyme from 14 species
UAAGUUAUUCUCUCACCGUUUUGUUUUGUUUUCCUUUUUCUUUAUUCAUCCUUUGUUCUGAUUUUUGACAUG